rnacentral:rRNA from 1 species
CCUACGGGGGGCAGCAGUGGGGAAUAUUGGACAAUGGGGGCAACCCUGAUCCAGCCAUGCCGCGUGUGUGAAGAAGGCCCUCGGGUUGUAAAGCACUUUCAGUGAGGAAGAACGCCUGGUGGUUAAUACCCAUCAGGAAAGACAUCACUCACAGAAGAAGCACCGGCUAACUCCGUGCCAGCAGCCGCGGUAAUACGGAGGGUGCGAGCGUUAAUCGGAAUUACUGGGCGUAAAGCGCGCGUAGGUGGCUUGAUAAGCCGGUUGUGAAAGCCCCGGGCUCAACCUGGGAACGGCAUCCGGAACUGUCAAGCUAGAGUGCAGGAGAGGAAGGUAGAAUUCCCGGUGUAGCGGUGAAAUGCGUAGAGAUCGGGAGGAAUACCAGUGGCGAAGGCGGCCUUCUGGACUGACACUGACACUGAGGUGCGAAAGCGUGGGUAGCAAACAGGAUUUAGAUACCCCUGUAGUC